GCCGGAGUGGCGAAAUUGGUAGACGCACACGACUCAAAAUCGUGCGAGCCUAGCUCAUGAGAGUUCGAGUCUCUCCUCCGGCA
rnacentral:tRNA from 2 species